CAAAGGAUAGUUUAAUAUUAAAAUAAUAGUUUUGGGAAUUAUUGAUAGAUUUUUUUCUUCCUUUGA
rnacentral:tRNA from 1 species